AAAAAAAAUGGGCGCAACGCCCAUCCUUCUAUGCCGAGAUCACAUCCGGGCGGCGAAACAAAACACCAUGCCCAGCGACUUUGUAAUUUUAGCCAUUU
rfam:Candidatus Burkholderia crenata strain TZHbot9 BCREchr_ctg311, whole genome shotgun sequence.